rnacentral:rRNA from 1 species
AGAGUUUGAUCAUGGCUCAGGACGAACGCUGGCGGCGUGCUUAACACAUGCAAGUCGAGCGGUAAGGCCCCUUCGGGGGUACACGAGCGGCGAACGGGUGAGUAACACGUGAGUAACCUGCCCCUGACUCUGGGAUAAGCCUGGGAAACUGGGUCUAAUACCGGAUAUGACCUCGUGCCGCAUGUGUGGGGUGGAAAGGUGUUUUUCCGGUCAGGGAUGGGCUCGCGGCCUAUCAGCUUGUUGGUGGGGUAACGGCCUACCAAGGCGAUGACGGGUAGCCGGCCUGAGAGGGCGACCGGCCACACUGGGACUGAGACACGGCCCAGACUCCUGCGGGAGGCAGCAGUGGGGAAUAUUGCGCAAUGGGCGGAAGCCUGACGCAGCGACGCCGCGUGGGGGAUGAAGGCCUUCGGGUUGUAAACCUCUUUUACCACUCACGAAGGCCCCUGGUUUUCUGGGGGUUGACGGUAGGUGGUGAAUAAGGACCGGCUAACUACGUGCCAGCAGCCGCGGUAAUACGUAGGGUCCGAGCGUUGUCCGGAAUUAUUGGGCGUAAAGAGCUCGUAGGCGGCCUGUCGCGUCUGCUGUGAAAGUCAGGGGCUUAACUCCGGGUGUGCAGUGGAUACGGGCAGGCUUGAGGUAGGUAGGGGAGACUGGAAUUCCUGGUGUAGCGGUGAAAUGCGCAGAUAUCACGAGGAACACCGGUGGCGAAGGCGGGUCUCUGGGCCUUACCUGACGCUGAGGAGCGAAAGCGUGGGGAGCGAACAGGAUUAGAUACCCUGGUAGUCCACGCCGUAAACGUUGGGCGCUAGGUGUGGGGACUUUCCACGGUUUCCGUGCCGUAGCUAACGCAUUAAGCGCCCCGCCUGGGGAGUACGGCCGCAAGGCUAAACUCAAGGAAUUGACGG